rnacentral:rRNA from 1 species
GACGUAGGGCGCGAGCGUUGUCCGGAUUUAUUGGGCGUAAAGCGCGCGCAGGCGGCCUCGCGCGCCCGACGUGAAAGCCCCCGGCUUAACCGGGGAGAGUCGUUGGGGACGGCGGGGCUUGAGGGCGGGAGAGGGUGGUGGAAUUCCCGGUGUAGUGGUGAAAUGCGUAGAGAUCGGGAGGAACACCCGUGGCGAAGGCGGCCACCUGGGGCCGACC